CCCAGUGAGUAGAAACAUAGAAAACAGUUCAUUAAUUACAUGCUCUCAUGAAAUGCGUCAUAACACAAAGAAAUCACAUAACUGUAUCUUGUCCGUCUCGGGGUUCAUGCAAAUAAAUAUUCCCCACGGACUGUUUUUGAGAGUUUCUUUCUUUGCUAGCAUCCUUUACUCUCAAGGAUCGGACAUGACCUCAAAAAUCCCUCUGUCGGUGCCCGGCUCCCCCAAAGGAGCUCACACAGGACUUUCACAUACAUGACAGGGUGCCUAAUCCACAGAGAGCUCAC
rnacentral:lncRNA from 1 species